AGAACGCUGAAGGAGGAGCUUGCUUCUCUGGAUGAGUUGCGAACGGGUGAGUAACGCGUAGGUAACCUGCCUGGUAGCGGGGGAUAACUAUUGGAAACGAUAGCUAAUACCGCAUAAUAGUAGAUGUUGCAUGACAUUUGCUUAAAAGGUGCAAUUGCAUCACUACCAGAUGGACCUGCGUUGUAUUAGCUAGUUGGUGAGGUAACGGCUCACCAAGGCGACGAUACAUAGCCGACCUGAGAGGGUGAUCGGCCACACUGGGACUGAGACACGGCCCAGACUCCUACGGGAGGCAGCAGUAGGGAAUCUUCGGCAAUGGACGGAAGUCUGACCGAGCAACGCCGCGUGAGUGAAGAAGGUUUUCGGAUCGUAAAGCUCUGUUGUAAGAGAAGAACGAGUGUGAGAGUGGAAAGUUCACACUGUGACGGUAUCUUACCAGAAAGGGACGGCUAACUACGUGCCAGCAGCCGCGGUAAUACGUAGGUCCCGAGCGUUGUCCGGAUUUAUUGGGCGUAAAGCGAGCGCAGGCGGUUAGAUAAGUCUGAAGUUAAAGGCUGUGGCUUAACCAUAGUACGCUUUGGAAACUGUUUAACUUGAGUGCAAGAGGGGAGAGUGGAAUUCCAUGUGUAGCGGUGAAAUGCGUAGAUAUAUGGAGGAACACCGGUGGCGAAAGCGGCUCUCUGGCUUGUAACU
rnacentral:rRNA from 1 species